rnacentral:rRNA from 1 species
CGGACGGGUGAGUACGCGUGAGAAUCUGCCUCCAGGUCGGGGACAACAGCGGGAAACUGCUGCUAAUCCCGGAUAAGCCCUAGGGUAAAAGAUUUAUUGCCUGGAGAGGAGCUCGCGUCCGAUUAGCUAGAUGGUGAGGUAAGAGCUCACCAUGGCGACGAUCGGUAGCUGUUCUGAGAGGAAGAUCAGCCACACUGGGACUGAGACACGGCCCAGACCCCUACGGGAGGCAGCAGUGGGGAAUUUUCCGCAAUGGGCGAAAGCCUGACGGAGCAAGACCGCGUGCGGGAAGAAGGCCCUUGGGUCGUAAACCGCUUUUCUUAGGGAAGAAGCUCUGACGGUACCUAAGGAAUCAGCCUCGGCUAACUCCGUGCCAGCAGCCGCGGUAAUACGGAGGAGGCAAGCGUUAUCCGGAAUUAUUGGGCGUAAAGCGUCCGCAGGCGGCUUAUCAAGUCUGCUGUCAAAGACUGGGGCUCAACCCUGGGGAGGCAGUGGAAACUGAGAAGCUAGAGUGCAGUAGGGGUAGAGGGAAUUCCCAGUGUAGCGGUGAAAUGCGUAGAGAUUGGGAAGAACACCGGUGGCGAAAGCGCUCUACUGGGCUGCAACUGACGCUGAGGGACGAAAGCUAGGGGAGCGAAAGGGAUUAGAUACCCCUGUAGU